rnacentral:rRNA from 1 species
AUUGAACGCUGGCGGCAGGCCUAACACAUGCAAGUCGAGCGAGCGGCGGACGGGUGAGUAAUGUAUGGGGACUGCCCGAUAGAGGGGGCUAACUACUGGAAACGGUGGCUAAUAGCGCAUACUAUCGGAUGACCCAUAUGGGAUUAGCUAGUCGGGGGGGUAAAGGCUCACCUAGGCGACGAUCUCUACCUGAUCUGAGAGGAUGAUCAGCCACACUGGGACUGAGACACGGCCCAGACUCCGACGGAGGCAGCAGUAGGGAAUCUUCCACAAUGGGCGAAAGCCUGAUGGAGCCAUGCCGCGUGAAUGAAGAAGGCCUUAGGGUUGGAAAGCACUGUCAGGAGAGAGGCGUUACCUACACAGAAAGCACCGGCUAACUCCGUGCCAGCAGCCGCGGUAAUAC